AGCGAACGCUGGCGGCAGGCUUAACACAUGCAAGUCGAACGGGCACUUCGGUGCUAGUGGCAGACGGGUGAGUAACGCGUGGGAACGUGCCUUUCGGUUCGGAAUAAUCCAGGGAAACUUGGACUAAUACCGGAUACGCCCUUCGGGGGAGAGAUUUAUCGCCGAAAGAUCGGCCCGCGUCUGAUUAGCUAGUUGGUGAGGUAAAGGCUCACCAAGGCGACGAUCAGUAGCUGGUCUGAGAGGAUGAUCAGCCACAUUGGGACUGAGACACGGCCCAAACUCCUACGGGAGGCAGCAGUGGGGAAUAUUGGACAAUGGGCGCAAGCCUGAUCCAGCCAUGCCGCGUGAGUGAUGAAGGCCUUAGGGUUGUAAAGCUCUUUUGUCCGGGAAGAUAAUGACUGUACCGGAAGAAUAAGCCCCGGCUAACUUCGUGCCAGCCGCCGCAGUAAGAC
rnacentral:rRNA from 1 species